AAUUGCCAAGAAGAGUUGUUUCUUGAACACAAGGAACUCGCAGCAUAUGAAACUUUCAUUUGGAUGCUCAUC